GCGCCUGUGGCUCAGCUGGAUAGAGCGACGGACUACGAAUCCGUAGGUCGGGGGUUCGAAUCCCUCCAGGCGCACCA
rnacentral:tRNA from 1 species